ACACUCCUACGGGAGGCAGCAGUGGGGAAUUUUGGACAAUGGGCGAAAGCCUGAUCCAGCAAUGCCGCGUGAGUGAAGAAGGCCUUCGGGUUGUAAAGCUCUUUUGUCAGGGAAGAAACGGUGAGAGCUAAUAUCUCUUGCUAAUGACGGUACCUGAAGAAUAAGCACCGGCUAACUACGUGCCAGCAGCCGCGGUAAUACGUAGGGUGCAAGCGUUAAUCGGAAUUACUGGGCGUAAAGCGUGCGCAGGCGGUUUUGUAAGUCUGAUGUGAAAUCCCCGGGCUCAACCUGGGAAUUGCAUUGGAGACUGCAAGGCUAGAAUCUGGCAGAGGGGGGUAGAAUUCCACGUGUAGCAGUGAAAUGCGUAGAUAUGUGGAGGAACACCGAUGGCGAAGGCAGCCCCCUGGGUCAAGAUUGACGCUCAUGCACGAAAGCGUGGGGAGCAAACAGGAUUAGAAACCCCAGUAGUCCCAUG
rnacentral:rRNA from 1 species